UAAAGUUUGAUUCAAAACUUUAGAGUCUUCGAGUUUGAAAUUUCAAGAAACAGCAUUAAUUUUUAAAUGAAACAGUACAACAUCACAAUUCUUUGCAAGAGAAGCAAGUCUUGAUAAUAAAGUGCAAAAGGUUGCGGAAUUUAAAAAAGACUUACCAAGAAGCAUUACUGGAAUUUAUUGUUAUGAUGAACUGUCAUCAAGUUUUAAGCCUAUGGGUGGAACAUAAACAUUAGUGUCGCAUGCAUCAAAGUUCGAUUUGGUCGAUAAGUAGAAGAUCAUUUGAAGAGAGCUCUUAAUAGAGUAGCAUAACAAUUAUUUUAUUACAUUUUUGUAUGUUUAUAUUGUAAAUGUUUGAUUUUUUAUUUUGGUAUGCUUAUAUUAUAA
rnacentral:lncRNA from 1 species